AGGCUUUGGGAUAACCCUCGGAAACGGGGGCUAAUACCGAAUACGACCUCUGGACGCAUGUUUGGUGGUGGAAAGUUUUUCGGCCUGGGAUGGGCUCGCGGCCUAUCAGCUUGUUGGUGGGGUGAUGGCCUACCAAGGCGACGACGGGUAGCCGGCCUGAGAGGGCGACCGGCCACACUGGGACUGAGACACGGCCCAGACUCCUACGGGAGGCAGCAGUGGGGAAUAUUGCACAAUGGGCGGAAGCCUGAUGCAGCGACGCCGCGUGAGGGAUGACGGCCUUCGGGUUGUAAACCUCUUUCAGCAGGGACGAAGCGCAAGUGACGGUACCUGCAGAAGAAGCACCGGCCAACUACGUGCCAGCAGCCGCGGUAAGACGUAGGGUGCGAGCGUUGUCCGGAUUUAUUGGGCGUAAAGAGCUCGUAGGCGGCUUGUCGCGUCGACCGUG
rnacentral:rRNA from 1 species